rnacentral:lncRNA from 1 species
CUGGUGAGGCUAUUGAGGGAGAGGAGUUUGAAAUAGACAAUGACGAUGAAGAUGAUAUCGAUGAGGAUGAGGAUGAGGAUGAAGAAGAUGAAGACGAAGAUGAGGAAGAAGACGAUGAUGAAGAUGAGGAGGAAGAAGUAAGCAAGACCAAAAAGAAGGUAUUGAAUUCCUCUUGUUUUGUUUCUUCCUGUCAUGGAAUUGCCUUUUCUGAGUUUGGUUACUAACUUUUUGAUAUUGUGUUAAAUGUUUAUGCAGCCGUCAGUCUUACACAAGGUACAUAGCCAGUUUCCUCCCUUCUGAUAGUAUUUGUCUGAGUUAAUUAGUUAAUCCGACACCAAUGGAUCAUACAACGGUCAUAAACUAUUGACAUUUGGUCAAAAAAGGAAAUGAAUUAGGAAGAUUGCUGAAAUUAACUGAUUAAGCUCAUUAUGUAUAAAUCUGUGAAUCAUAGAAACUUGAACACUUAUAUGACUGAAGCUGAAUUAUAUUAGUAGACAGAAUGUAUAUUUAUAAGCUUGGUGGAAUCCUUAUCAUGCAUAUUUAUAAGCUUAGGCAAAUCAGUGUGUUAUGUUUGUGAUAAUCAGAUAGAUUCAUAAAUAUUCUUUUUGAAAUCAAAUGGCAGAA